GCCUCCGCAGAUCAGUGGUAGAUCAUCUUGAAUGCAUAUACAUUGUUUCGAGCUUAUAAAGAGGUAGCGUGGGUUCGAAUCCCGCCGGAGGCG